rnacentral:rRNA from 1 species
AACUAGCCUCUAAUGUGAGAGGGUACCCCCUGGAUUUAAGCAUAUUAAUAAGGGGAGGAAAAGAAAUCAACAGAGAUUCUCCUAGUACCUGCGAGGGAAAAGAGAAAAGCCCAUCCUGAAUCCAAGGUUUUACCUUGGAGUUGUAGGGUGAGGAUGCUAUACUUUGAUCUGAGAAUCGUGAAAUUACCUGUAAAGGUAUUCACAAGUGAAUCCAUAGAGGGUAUUAGGCCCGUUAGCGAUUCAUUCAGGUCUGUACGGUAUGGUAUCUACGAGUAGGAUUGUUUGAUAGUACAAUCUGAAUAUAGGGGAUAAACUUCCUCUAAGGCUAAAUAUAAUGCACGAGACCGUUAGUAAACAAGUACCGUGAGGGAACGUUGAAAAGUACUCUGGUAAGAGGGUGAAAAGAGUGUGAAAUUGCAUAGAUUUAAGCGUAACCAAGUAUCGACUCUUGUAGUGUUCUUUUUGGUUCACUAUAGGUAUCCAACAACUCUGUUCUUGUUUUAAUAAACGGGAAUUGGGCUACACAUGCUAAUAAUGCCGUUGUAGAUGAGUUGUACAGAUGAAGGUCUUGUUGCUGUGUUCUUGCUUCACGGCUUGAAUGCGGUACCGGGGUUGUAGUCUGUAUGAUUUGUCGCAAAUAACCGGUCCUUUAGCAUAUUGUUGGUAUGGUAUUUGGGAACGUCC